UACGUAGGGGGCAAGCGUUGUCCGGAUUUAUUGGGCGUAAAGAGCGUGUAGGCGGCCACACAGGUCAGCUGUGAAAACUCGAGGCUCAACCUCGAGACGUCGGUUGAAACCGUAUGGCUAGAGUCCGGAAGAGGAGAGUGGAAUUCCCGGUGUACGCGGUGAAAUGCGCAGAUAUCGGGAAGAACACCCGUGGCGAAGGCGGCUCCUCUGGGACGGUACUGACGCUGAGACGCGGAAAGCGUGGGGAGCGAACAGG
rnacentral:rRNA from 1 species